rnacentral:rRNA from 1 species
CCCUUAGAUGUUCUGGGCCGCACGCGCGCUACACUGAUGCAUUCAACAAGCCUAGCCUUGACCGAGAGGUCCGGGUAAUCUUUGAAACUGCAUCGUGAUGGGGCUAGAUUAUUGCAAUUAUUAAUCUUCAACGAGGAAUGCCUAGUAAGCGUGAUUCAUCAAAUCGCGUUGAUUACGUCCCUGCCCUUUGUACACACCGCCCGUCGCUCCUACCGAUUGAAUGUGUUGGUGAGGAGCUCGGAUUGGCAGCAGUUGGUGGUUCGACACCGGCUAUUGCUGAGAAGUCCUCCAAACCGCCCCAUUUAGAGGAAGGAGAAGUCGUAACA